GGGAGUUGGUCAGAAAAAAAAAAAAAAAAAAAAAACCAAAAACAGCAUUAGAAACAUUUCUGGACUUUGGGAACUUUCUUAGAGCAAUUUCUUUUUCAACUGUAACAGGCUCUAUCGUCGCCUGUUGCAAAUCACAGUAACAGGGAUUGACGAAACUCAGCUGAGGAUAAGUGGCGUGUCAGAAACCAGGUGUUUGGACUUAAUGACUCCACGUUCCUCAGGAUAUUUUACACUGUGAUUGCAUCGGUCCAUGCUUCUAAAUUAGUUGCUAGGUUACGGCCAAUUCUCCAUUAUUCAAUACCUCUGUACAGCUAGGACGUGGAACUGGAUUUAUUCUCUCCUGCGAGGUAUCCUAAGACCGUUAACGUUCUUAAAUUUUUCACAGCAUCAUGUUGCGAAAAGCCUCCUAGUCAAAGGUGAUCAGAACUUCAGUUUUUGAAAUUUUACCGAAAUAAAGGAAACAAGGAAAAGGUGAAUCCCUGACAGCUGGGUUUGGGGAAGUUCCACUGUUUGAUCGAGUCUGUUCCCAGGAAGAAGGUUCAAGUGCACGGGAAGUACACACCCAUGUUCUGUGGGCUGCUUGUUAGUUUGUAAAUUGUCAAAAGUGCAGAUUCAUGGCUUAUGUCCUCUAGAAACUGGCUGAGCCACCAUGUGACUCCGAAUCACAAGAAAAAGAUGCCUCUCUACUCCAGUCAUGACCACUUUUUCUGUUUCAGCCCCUGGUGGCCACUGACCCACUGAGCCAGGGGGACACGCUUCUCCCUGGCUCCGCAGCAGCAAACAGGACCUUGGUGGACAAAUGUGGGUUUGGCUGGUGGUGGCUGAACCUAUACUUGGCCUUGGACUCUGAGCUCAGUACACAGUAAUGUUCAGUAAAUCUCUCCUGAGUGCACAUGGAUUUAAGCUUCUGCUCCGAACUUGAACGUGGCAUUUAGAAACCCACAGCAAGUUGGAUAGCACUGAUCCCAAACAUUUACUGAGUCCUGCACACCCGCUGAGGACUUUGUUUAAACAAGGACACAAGGUUUACCUGGAUUUUUAAGUAAACUGAAGCAACUGGUGGGUGUGGGGGUAUCAUGCGGCGAAGCCCUGAGGAGGAAUCGGCCCAUUGUAAAGGCUCAAGGUGAGACCCCACAGGAGGGGUGGCAGGGCAGAAAGCAGCCAUGCUGUGGAAAGAUAGCUAGUCUUAACUCUGGAAGUGACCACGACCGUUGUUGAUGGAUCUGGCACGGUGUUUGCGUGACCAGGGGCGCUCCUGGGAAUGUGGCAUUGAAAUAGCUGGCACUGACAUGAAUGACAAGUCACCUACAGGUUGGAAUAUGGCUGCAGGAUUCACGCCAAAUGGAAGACCCAGGAGUCGUCAGACUUGGCGUGUGAGAAGCCAGGUUCCCAGCUCCCAUGAGGAGCACACAAUUUUACAUUUAAUGGUAUCCAAGGCAGAGGGUGUUGUGACAAAUGUCUUUAUUCCAUGGAGUAUAAGCCAACAAAGCAUGUGGAUGGGAAUCUGGAUAAGCUUAUUGCAGAGACGACUUGGGGUCCCCUUUCUUCCUUUUGUUGGGUUACCCCGUGAAUUACUAAGGCAUCUUCCGACUUAAAGAUCCUGAGGCGUGAGCACUGGGAAAGUUCGAGGAGGUUUGUCUGUACUACAGUUGUUGUGAGAACAGUUAUUCACUUUCUCUGGAGAAAUAUUGUUCCAUGAGCUCCAUUUUCCAUCCACUGGCAAUAUUUAGGCAACUGCCUGACCAUUUUGGCAACAAUUGUGCUUAAGCGAAUUAAUGCCAACCUCAAAAGAUUGCCAUGGAACCAUCCUACAUUUUUCUUGGUGACUAAAAUGGAGAAAAUCUGUGUAGAUCUUCUGUACUAAUUAAAAAGGAGGCCCACCUGGCAGAGCUGUUAAUUACAGUCAGGGUUCCUGCUCAAAUACUGUCACAGCACCAGCCAAAGAAGCGAUUCAAGUUGCAUUCUUAUUAAAACUCUCAUUAUCUAAAACUCCCUUUGGCUCCUCCUCUGACUUUAAACCAAGAGAGAACCAGUGGUUCAUAAAUAAAUGACACUGCAUGUCAGAAAUCACACACUGCCCUUGAAGGAUCGGUUCCGUCUGAAACCAAGUCCAGGAUUUCCUGGCUCUUGAGCCUCUUUGGUUCCAGGUCUUCAACUACUGCGGCCUAAAUGUCCAGCCUCUGCACACAUCUGGGCCCCAUCGGGUUUAGCCAAUGCUCCACCUCAAUGAUGGUGGACUCCAUUUUCCAAAGAUGGCCACAAGAGUGGCUGGGCCAUAAACGGCAACACGGCUUCUAGCUUGCUGUUAAGGACACUUGUACCUGAGCUGUCAUGUCAGAAGUCUGGCCACUCUGGGACUGCCAUGCUGUGAGGAAGCCCAGGUGACACAGGAAGCCAGGUGACGCAGAAUCUCGGGUGACAGAGACAGCCCAGGUGACACAGAGAGCCUAGAUGAUACAGGAAACCCAGGUGACACAGCCCAGGCAUGAUGUCCUAGUCAGGACUCCCUAUGGCUAAGUCCUCCCAGCCCAGGUGAGUGACCAGCCUCCAGUUAUGAGUGUAUAGCCCUCAGAGGACCCAACCACUCGAUCAGCCCUAAUUUUCUAGUCUUCCCAGCUGAGCUCCAGACACUGGGGAGCUGAGACAAGCCAUUCCCACUGUGUCCUGUCCAAAUCCCUAACGUGAAGAAUCUCUGAGCAGAAUCAGAUGGCUGCUUCACGUCGCUUUCUGUCCCACAGUGAUGGAAACUGGACCACCACUCAUGGGGACCUUUCUUUACUUGUAAGAACAUUCUGCCUCAGACCAUGUUUACAGGACACACCCACAAGAAUCUGGGAAAGGCCCAAAUGGAGUACGUUUUAAACACACAGCAUCGGUCCCUUCCUUGGAAGAAGCAGGUUUCAUUAUUUAUCUGGAACUAUGAUCAACAACAUCCACCACUGAUGGGUCACCUGUUUUAUUCCUUGAAGUCAGGGUUGCUUUGUAUGUGAUGCUUAAUAAUCCCAGGGACGUGGAAGAACUUGUCCAAAGUCUAUGGAAGUCAAUGGAAGAGCUGGGAUUCUGACUUCCUGAAGAGAGGGGGUGGGAGGCCAGAGCCUGGGACAUUUUGGGUCUGCUCCCCCUUAAAGGAUUUUUCCAAUAGCUUCUAUCUACAUCUCACUGGCCAGGACCUGCCAUGUGGCUGGCCUCAUUCUCAAGGAAAUCUAGGAAAUGUGCCCUUUUUAAGUUAGAUUGUUAUCUUUCAAAAAUAUUCAGGGUAAGAAAAUGGGAAUGGACGUGGGCAACUUCCUGUGUCUCCCUCACUGACUGACCAAGAGAGCAAACAUGACACAUAGGAAAGGAAACCCUCCACGUGACAAGAAACACUAGUUUGGAACCAUCUGUCAGAGACUCUUACCCGAGGAGCUCGCCAGUUGACCAACUGCACUGUCCCCUUUCUGGUUACCUUGAACCCAGGGGAUGUCCCUCCCACCCCCCAGCACACACAGCUUCUGCUUCCCCUGGAUGCUGUUCCAGUGUCAUUCAGGGAGGGCAGGAGAACAAGGGUGUCGGGACAGACGUCCCAGACCCGAAGCCGUGUGCUUGCUUUUUGCCACAGAGGUGGUUAUUUUCACUCUCUUUGAUGCAUCACAGGUUACGUCAAAACUUAGUGGCUUAGUGUCCUUCAGGAGGUGAAUGGAUAAAUACACCAUGGUCUAAUAUUCCAGACGGUGGAAUAUUAUUCAGGGGUAAAAAGAAAUGGGCUAGCAAGCCAUGAAAAGACAAGGAUGAAAUUUAAAUGCAAAUUACUAAGUGAAAGAAGCCAAUCUUAAAAGGCCACAUACUGUAUGAUUCCAACUAUGUGACAUUCUGGAAAAGGCACAACUAUGGAGACCUUCAAAGAUGAGCGGUUGUCAGGGGUCAUGGGGGAGGGGUGGACAGGUGGAGCCGAGAGGAUUCUUAGGGCAGUGAGACUGUCCUGGGUGACACUGUCAUGGUGGGUACACGUCACUGCACAUUUGUGCAAACCCACAGAAUGUCCAUUGCCAAGUGGAAGCCAUAAUGUAAACUCUGGACUUCAGGCAAUAAUGGCGCAUCAAUGGAGGUCCUCGGUUGUAACAAAUGCACCAUCUGGUGGGAUGCUGGUAACGGGGGAGGCUGUGUAAGAGUGGAGGUAGGGGAUUCAUGGGAAAUGUUCUAUCUUCCUUUCAAUGUUGCUGUGAACCUAAAACGCCUCUAAAAAAAUAAAAUGUAUUUUAAAAGCACUUACUGGCUUAAAAUGAUGAAUUUUUGCUACCUCAGUCUUUGGGAGUCAGAAAUUGGGAACAGCCUAGUUGGGGAUUCUGGCUCAUGGUCUCCUAUAGGUUGACAGUCAAGAUGUCAGCUGAGACUGUGUCAUCUGAAGGCUUGACUGGGGCUGGAGGACCCACUUGCAAGGUGGCCCCUCACACCACCAGCAAGUUGCUAAUGGCUGGUGUGGGAAACUGCGAUUCCUUAAGACGUGGACGCCACCAGAGGGCUACCUGUGUGACCUUAUGAUGUGGCAGCAAGUGGCUCAGGAGGGUGCAAGUUAGAAGCUGUAGCAUCGUUCACAACAUAGCCCUGUGCUAUUUCCACAUUAUCUUGUUAGCUGUACAGGUCAGCCCCAGCCAGUGAGAGAGGGGACCCUAAAAGGAUAUGGACACCAAGGGGCAGUGACCACUGGGGGACAUUUGGGCAGCUGGCUACUAUGGGGCUCUCUCAUGCAUCACACAGAAGACUCUGAAUUAAGAAUAUGACCCCCCUGUAAACAAAGCAUUAUCUCUGAAAGUAAAAGGAAACUCAGGAGUAA